CUAAAGGCUCUUUUCAGAGCCACUUCCAUUUUCAUUCAAAAUUGCU
rfam:Equus caballus chromosome 20, whole genome shotgun sequence.